GCGUCUGGUCUAUGCUUCAUAGAAGGUACUUAGUUUCUAAGGAUAUUAAUGUAACGAAGCCCUCUACAUAGGGCUUAGGACCCUGUCUCGUAGGAGUUCGUGCGUUCGAAUCGCACCUCCCGCACCA
rnacentral:tRNA from 1 species